rnacentral:rRNA from 1 species
AUACGUAGGGGGCAAGCGUUAUCCGGAUUUACUGGGUGUAAGGGGUGCGUAGGUGGCAAGGCAAGUCAGAUGUGAAAGCCCGGGGCUCAACCCCGGUACUGCAUUUGAAACUGUCUGGCUAGAGUGCAGGAGAGGUAAGCGGAAUUCCUAGUGUAGCGGUGAAAUGCGUAGAUAUUAGGAGGAACACCAGUGGCGAAGGCGGCCAACUGGGCUUUUACUGACGCUGAGGCUCGAAAGUAUGGGGAGC